rnacentral:lncRNA from 1 species
AUGUUUCUUAUUUUACUUUUAAUGCAGUGGUUUAGUGAUUUUAUAUUAUCUGUGGCACCUUCAUGCCUAUACUUUGAACAACCUAACAGAUUUUUUUUUUCCUUACAGGUUUUAGCUGUAAUGUUUGGUUUAUCUACCCACUAUUUUAAAGGUGCUAAGGAUUUGAGUCUGAGCACUGAGAAGUUUACGGUGGGUGUUGUACCAAAUGCAGAUCAUCUGUACAUCCCUUACUUAAUGAGCUCCUUGCUGUUCAGAAGCCUCAGGCCUUGGUGGAACCUGCAUCUUUCCUUUUCACCGCUGGGAGAUCACACUUGUUUCAGCUCUCAAAAGUAAAAAUGUUUUUGUUUAACUCCGUUUGUUGGCCUUAGCAUAAACUAUCCGGGUAAAACUUAAUGGGUUGCAAAUGCAGGAAGCUGGAAUGCAUGAUAUAAAGGUCUCAACUGGUCUUAAAACUUGCAGACUGUCUUGCAGUUAUAUGUCUAGUCCCUCUUAGAAAUGUGUUUCUCUUGUGUAUUUAUGUGAUACCUCAAUUAUUUUAUUAAAAGGAAGAAGAAAUUGUAAUACACUGCAUGUGAAAGCUGUGAAAAUAUUGGUAAUAUUAAGAGUUUCAAAGAACUUUUUAAUUCAUUCUUUAGGACACAAACUAAAUCUGUCAGCAACUUAAUAGCCAUCCUGCUUUCACAUUAUGUCAUCCCAUACGGCACAUGAAUUAUAUAUUUGCAUUAUGCAACUCUAACAUAUAAUAUUUAUACAAUCUGUUUCCCCCAUUGGUUACUUAGUUUUAUAGUCCCCUAUUUAAAUUAAAUUUAGCUGUUAAAUACAUGUUACUGAAUUUCUUACUAUCACUUCAUCUGUGGCAUGGAAAAACAAUAAUGGAUCUUUUUUAAAAAACAACAAAUAUAUACAAAAAAAGAAAAACUUAAACAGGAAGCUCACUACCUGUUUAGGAAUCUAAAACACUCCCUGCUCCAAAGCCAAAAUAUUAAUAUUCAUAGCUCUUACAGGUAAGAUUUUUGUCAGUAGGCUGUGUUUGCCCACAUUGAUUAAGCCCCUUCCUCAAUACCAUACAUUUUGAAUUUGUUUGUACUUAUUAAACUCUUUCCCCCGUAUCAUACAUAUAGAGUUUGCCCAUAUUUAUUAAACACUUUCCACAAUACCAUAUAUUUUGAGUAAAAAAGAUUUAAAUGUGACUUUUAAAUAAAAAAUGAAUGCAUGGAUUAAAAUGUAUGCA